GGGGGGGGGGGGGGGGGGGCGUCGGGGGGGCGGGGCGGACGGCAGCACGGGGGCAGCCCUGGUGGCGAGGGGCGCACGGGUGAGUCAGGCAUCGGAACGUGCCCGGGCGUGGGGGAUAACGUAGCGUAAGGUACGCGCAUACCGCCUACGAUCGUAGCAGGAAAGCGGGGGAACUUCGGGCCACGCGCGAUCGGAGCGUCCGAUGACCGAUUAGGUAGCUGGUGGGGUAAAGGCCUACCAAGCCGACGAUCUGUAGCUGCUCUGAGAGGACGACCGGCCACACUGGAACUGAGACACGGCCCAGACUCCUACGGGAGGCAGCAGUGGGGAAUUUUGGACAAUGGGCGCAAGCCUGAUCCAGCCAUGCCGCGUGCAGGACGAAGGCCUUCGGGUUGUAAACUGCUUUUGUAUGGAACGAAAAGGCUCUGGCUAAUACCUGGGGCUCAUGACGGUACCGUAAGAAUAAGCACCGGCUAACUACGUG
rnacentral:rRNA from 1 species